CUGCUAAUACCGCAUACGAUCUAACCUUGGCAUCGAGGAUGGAUGAAAGGUGGCCUCUAUUUAUAAGCUAUCACUGAAGGAGGGGAUUGCGUCUGAUUAGCUAGUUGGAGGGGUAACGGGCCCACCAAGGCGAUGAUCAGUAGCCGGUCUGAGAGGAUGAACGGCCACAUUGGGACUGAGACACGGCCCAGACUCCUACGGGAGGCAGCAUG
rnacentral:rRNA from 1 species